rnacentral:rRNA from 1 species
UGUUCUAUGAACCACAUAUAGAAUAAUCUCCUGCCCAGUGAUCAUUUCAACGGCCGCGGUAUCCUAACCGUGCAAAGGUAGCAUAAUAAUUUGCCCAUUAAUUGUGGGCUAGCAUGAACGGGGUAACGAAAUAAGAUCUGUAUCAAUAAGACUUAUAUAAACUACUAUAAAAGUGAAGAAGCUUUUAUUAUAAUAAAGGACAAGAAGACCCUAUAGAGCUUUAUCUAAAAUAAUAAAAUAUUUCAAUAGAUUCGGUUGGGGCGACCCAGGAUAGCUCAUCCUACAUUUUCUAGAUCAAUAAAUCACUACAUAGAUCCUACCAAGAUUACAAAUCAAGCUACCUUAGGGAUAACAGGCUAAUCCCACUAUAGAGUUCAUAUCAGCAGUGGGGAUUGGCACCUCGAUGUUGGCUUAGAUGACCUUUUUGGCGCAGAUGUCAUCAAAGGGGGUUUGUUCAACCCAUUAUUAUCU